AGCAGCCGCGGUAAUUCCAGCUCCAAUAGCGUAUAUUAAAGUUGUUGCAGUUAAAAAGCUCGUAGUUGAAUUUCGGGGUCAGUAGGUCGGUCGUGCCACUGGUAUGAACUGGUUUUACUGAUUCCUCCUUCUUGAAGAACUGUAAUGCCAUUAAUUUGGUGUUGCAGGGAAUCAGGACUGUUACUUUGAAAAAAUUAGAGUGUUUAAAGCAGGCUUUAGCUUGAAUACAUUAGCAUGGAAUAAUGAAAUAGGACGUUUGAUCCUAUUUUGUUGGUUUCUAGGAUUGACGUAAUGAUUAAUAGGGAUAGUUGGGGGCAUUAGUAUUCAAUUGUCAGAGGUGAAAUUCUUGGAUUUAUUGAAGACUAACUACUGCGAAAGCAUUUGCCAAGGAUGUUUUCAUUAAUCAAGAACGAAAGUUAGGGGAUCGAAGACGAUCAGAUACCGUCGUAG
rnacentral:rRNA from 1 species